rnacentral:rRNA from 1 species
GAAUUGUUCACAAUGGGCGCAAGCCUGAUGACGCAACGCCGCGUGGGGGAUGAAGGUCUUCGGAUUGUAAACCCCUGUCGAAUGGGACGAAUGGCCUCCGGGCUAAUCACCGGAGGAAUGACGGUACCGUUAAAGGAAGCCACGGCUAACUCUGUGCCAGCAGCCGCGGUAAUACAGAGGUGGCAAGCGUUAAUCGGAAUUACUGGGCGUAAAGCGUGCGCAGGCGGUUAUGUAAGACAGGUGUGAAAUCCCCGGGCUUAACCUGGGAACUGCAUUUGUGACUGCAUAGCUAGAGUACGGUAGAGGGGGAUGGAAUUCCGCGUGUAGCAGUGAAAUGCGUAGAUAUGCGGAGGAACACCGAUGGCGAAGGCAAUCCCCUGGACCUGUACUGACGCUCAUGCACGAAAGCGUGGGGAGCAAAC